rnacentral:rRNA from 1 species
CCUACGGGUGGCAGCAGUGAGGAAUAUUGGUCAAUGGACGAGAGUCUGAACCAGCCAAGUAGCGUGAAGGAUGACUGCCCUAUGUGUUGUAAAAUUCUUUUAUAAAGGAAUAAAACGAGGCACGUGUGCCUUUUUGCAUGUACUUUAUGAAUAAGGAUCGGCUAACUCCGUGCCAGCAGCCGCGGUAAUACGGAGGAGGCAAGCGUUAUCCGGAAUGACUGGGCGUAAAGGGUGCGUAGUGGGUUUGACAAGUUGGUAGCGUAACUCCGGGGCUCAACCUCGGCACUGCUACCAAAACUGUCGGACGUGAGUGCAGGAGGGGCAAAUGGAAGUCCUAGUGUAGCGGUGUAAUGCGUAGAUAUUAGGAGGAACACCAGUGGCGAAGGCGAUUUGCUGGACUGUAACUGACACUGAGGCACGAAAGCGUGGGGAGCAAACAGGAUUAGAUACCCCGGUAGUC